rnacentral:rRNA from 1 species
CCUACGGGCGGCUGCAGUGGGGAAUAUUGGUCAAUGGGCGAGAGCCUGAACCAGCGAAGUCGCGUGAGGGAUGAAGGAUCUCUGGUUUGUAAACUUCUUUUAUAUGGGAGUAAGGUGAGGAACGUGUUCCUUUUUGUAUGUACCAUAUGAGUAAACAUCGGCUAACUCCGUUCCAGCAGCCGCGGUAAUACGGAGGAUGCGAGCGUUAUCCGGAUUUAUUGGGUUUAAAGGGUGCGUAGGUGGUUAAUUAAGUCAGCGGUGAAAGUUUGUGGCUCAACCAUAAAAUUGCCGUUGAAACUGGUUGACUUGAGUAUAUGUGAGGUAGGCGGAAUGCGUGGUGUAGCGGUGAAAUGCAUAGAUAUCACGCAGAACGCCGAUGGCGAAGGCAGCUUACUAAACUAUAACUGACACUGAAGCACGAAAGCGUGGGGAUCAAACAGGAUUAGAUACCCGGGUAGUC